AGUGAUAUAACUCAGUGGUAGAGUACUUGCCUAGCAUGUGCCAGACCUAGGUUCAAUCUCUGAUAUUAUUA
rnacentral:tRNA from 1 species